rnacentral:rRNA from 1 species
UGAGGGAAUAUUUGGGGUCAAUGGACGGGAGUCUGAACCAGCCAAGUAGCGUGCAGGACGACGGCCCUAUGGGUUGUAAACUGCUUUUAUAGGGGGAUAAAGUGUGCCACGUGUGGCAUAUUGCAGGUACCCUAUGAAUAAGGACCGGCUAAUUCCGUGCCAGCAGCCGCGGUAAUACGGAAGGUCCGGGCGUUAUCCGGAUUUAUUGGGUUUAAAGGGAGCGUAGGCUGUCCUUUAAGCGUGUUGUGAAAUGUAGGCGCUCAACGCCUGCACUGCAGCGCGAACUGAAGGACUUGAGUGUGUACGACGCUGGCGGAAUUCGUGGUGUAGCGGUGAAAUGCUUAGAUAUCACGAAGAACUCCGAUUGCGAAGGCAGCUGGCGAGAGCACAACUGACGCUGAAGCUCGAAAGUGCGGGUAUCGAACAGGAUUAGAUACCCUGGUAGU